rnacentral:rRNA from 1 species
UGGAGCCGUAGCGAAAGCGAGUCUGAAUAGGGCGUUUAGUAUUUGGUCGUAGACCCGAAACCAGGUGAUCUACCCUUGGUCAGGUUGAAGUUCAGGUAACACUGAAUGGAGGACCGAACCGACUUACGUUGAAAAGUGAGCGGAUGAACUGAGGGUAGCGGAGAAAUUCCAAUCGAACUUGGAGAUAGCUGGUUCUCUCCGAAAUAGCUUUAGGGCUAGCCUCAAGUG